AGCGAACGCUGGCGGCAUGCCUAACACAUGCAAGUCGAACGGAACCUUCGGGAUUAGUGGCGGACGGGUGAGUAACGCGUGGGAACGUGCCCUUUGGUUCGGAAUAACUCAGGGAAAGUGGUGCUAAUACCGGAUAUUGUCUUCGGGGCAAAGAUUUAUCGCCAUUGGAUGGGCCCGCGUCUGAUUAGCUAGUUGGUAGGGUAAAAGCCUACCAAGGCGACGAUCCGUAGCUGGUCUGAGAGGAUGAUCAGCCACACUGGGACUGAGACACGGCCCAGACUCCUACGGGAAGCAGCAGUGGGGAAUCUUGCGCAAUGGGCGAAAGCCUGACGCAGCCAUGCCGCGUGAAUGAUGAAGGUCUUAGGAUUGUAAAAUUCUUUCAGCCGGGACGAUAAUGACGGUACCCGCAGAAGAAGCUCCGGCUAACUUCGUG
rnacentral:rRNA from 1 species